CAUCCUCUGCCGUGAACGACGGCAUGCAAAACAUUCGCCUUGUCCCUUAAAUACGACCACGGGAAGGGAACGGAAGCCGGGAGUGCAAGUCCGCCUCGCAGCGGGAAGCCCGAUGGCCCCCAACUCUUCCCACUUGAACCCCGGGUUCAAGGUCGUUUCGCAGGCAUCGUCAUGGCGGAGGAUGU
rnacentral:other from 1 species